AUUCUUCUUUUGUCAGAGUAUUACAGACCUUAGAUAUCUGUGCUAUGACAUACACCCUUUUAGUUUAUGUAUGGUUAAAAAUGAAAAAUACUAGAUUGUUGCUUUGCUUUGUUUGUUUUUCAUGAUAAAAUCUCAUGGGCUUGGCACCUACUUGAAAGACUGCCUUUCUUAUCUUCUGAUUAGGUAAUAAGAAUACUGUUGUCUUUUGGUCCUCAAGUUAUGGUUUCUAACAUCUGAUCUUUCCCACCAGUGCCAGCAAGUUUGCUUUGAGUACCUAAAGAUUAUACUGAGUAUAAUGAAAUUUCCUCAAUUUAUUGUAAAGGCAAAACAUCUUCUUGUAUACUCAUUAGAUAUCACCACCUUCAAAUGAAUAUGAUAAAUCAAUCUUGUCCUUAUUGAAUGGAUUUAGUAUUCAGCAUCCAGGCCUAAUAAAAAAUGUGAUCUAAUGAAGGUUCAUCUGUCUGAAUAUAGAUAUCAAGAAGUGGCAGAGUAUCAGAGGAGAAAGUUAGCAAGAAACAGGCCUCUGAAAUUUAAGAACCACAAAACAAUAAAAGAAGUAAACCCUUUUGUUGAAAAGCUCCAAUUCCCCUGUUAACGUCUCAUUCAGAGUCUAAUUGUAACCCAAUUAAGAAAAUUAAGAUGAGUAGAAACAGCUGGAACAGAAGGCCCUUGGGGUGAAGUGUACCCUCUGCAGUCAUUAUUUGAUGGAGAUCAUUACCCAACUCUACACACAGCACAUGAUAUUUAAUAUGAUUGGACUAAUUUAUAUCUGAAAAGAAUAAAAGUAUGUUAUGUAAAUAAAUCAAGUGACCUAUUAGCUCAAAUUCUUAAACACUCAGUUAUCCAAUGUUGCAAGUACAGUCAUGUGAUAAACCUUCAAAAUGCGGUUAGUCCUCUUUCUGUAUCUGUCCACAGCAUUACCCUUUUUCGUUUUGGUCAUGGCAACAUAUUCAUCUCAUGAGUGUUACAGCCAGAGAUGCACCAGUAACAACAUUGUGAUGUCCCAUGUUUAAUUUUAUGUAUGGUGAGUGUUAAAGGGAGAAUAAAGCCUUAAUUUGAAUUUAAAACUGGUAAUUACAUACACCUGUUCUUGCAAUUCAAGAAACUCUCACAUUGAUGAAAGUGUUCCAUUG
ensembl:lincRNA